GUGGGGAAUAUUGGACAAUGGGCGAAAGCCUGAUCCAGCCAUGCCGCGUGUGUGAAGAAGGUCUUCGGAUUGUAAAGCACUUUAAGUUGGGAGGAAGGGCAGUAAGUUAAUACCUUGCUGUUUUGACGUUACCGACAGAAUAAGCACCGGCUAACUUCGUGCCAGCAGCCGCGGUAAUACGAAGGGUGCAAGCGUUAAUCGGAAUUACUGGGCGUAAAGCGCGCGUAGGUGGUUUUGUAAGUUGGAGGUGAAAUCCCCGGGCUCAACCUGGGAACUGCCUCCAAAACUGCAUGACUAGAGUACGGUAGAGGGGAGUGGAAUUUCCUGUGUAGCGGUGAAAUGCGUAGAUAUAGGAAGGAACACCAGUGGCGAAGGCGACUACCUGGACUGAUACUGACACUGAGGUGCGAAAGCGUGGGGAGCAAACAGGAUUAGAAACCCGAGUAGUCC
rnacentral:rRNA from 1 species